rnacentral:rRNA from 1 species
GACGAACGCUGGCGGCGUGCCUAAUACAUGCAAGUCGAACGCAUUUUCUUUCACCGUAGCUUGCUACACCGAAAGAAAAUGAGUGGCGAACGGGUGAGUAACACGUGGGUAACCUGCCCAUCAGCGGGGGGUAACACUUGGAAACAGGUGCUAAUACCGCAUAAUUCCAUUUUCCGCAUGGUAAAAGGAUGAAAGGCGCUUUUGCGUCACUGAUGGAUGGGCCCGCGGUGCAUUAGCUAGUUGGUGGGGUAACGGCCUACCAAGGCUGCGAUGCAUAGCCGACCUGAGAGGGUGGUCGGCCACACUGGGACUGAGACACGGCCCAGACUCCUACGGGAAGCAGCAGUAGGGAAUCUUCGGCAAUGGGCGCAAGUCUUACCGAGCAACGCCGCGUGAGUGAAGAAGGUUUUCGGAUCGUAAAACUCUGUUGUUAGAGAAGAACAAGGAUGAGAGUGGAAAGUUCAUCCCUUGACGGUAGCUAACCAGAAAGCCACGGCUAACUACGUG